rnacentral:tRNA from 1 species
UCCAAUGUAGCAUAGUGGUUUGAGUGUUGGAUUAUGACUCUGGAGAUCAGGGUUCAAUUCCCACUGGGU